rnacentral:rRNA from 1 species
UACGAAGGGGGCUAGCGUUGUUCGGAAUCACUGGGCGUAAAGCGCACGCAGGCGGAUUGAUAAGUCAGGGGUGAAAUCCCGGAGAUCAACUUCGGAAUUGCCUUUGAUACUGUCUGUCUUCGAGUUCGGGAGAGGUUGGCGGAAUUCCUAGUGUAGAGGUGAAAUUCGUAGAUAUUAGGAAGAACACCAGUGGCGAAGGCGGCCAACUGGCCCGAUACUGACGCUCAUGUGCGAAAGCGUGGGGAGCAAACAGG